GUUAAGCGACUAAGCGUACACGGUGGAUGCCCUGGCAGUCAGAGGCGAUGAAGGGCGUGCUAAUCUGCGAUAAGCGCCGGUAAGGUGAUAUGAACCGUUAUAACCGGCGAUACCCGAAUGGGGAAACCCAGUGUGACUCGUCACACUAUCAUUAACUGAAUCCAUAGGUUAAUGAGGCGAACCGGGGGAACUGAAACAUCUAAGUACCCCGAGGAAAAGAAAUCAACCGAGAUUCCCCCAGUAGCGGCGAGCGAACGGGGAGGAGCCCAGAGCCUGAAUCAGCAUGUGUGUUAGUGGAAGCGUCUGGAAAGGCGCGCGAUACAGGGUGACAGCCCCGUACACAAAAGCGCAUGUGCUGUGAGCUCGAUGAGUAGGGCGGGACACGUGGUAUCCUGUCUGAAUAUGGGGGGACCAUCCUCCAAGGCUAAAUACUCCUGACUGACCGAUAGUGAACCAGUACCGUGAGGGAAAGGCGAAAAGAACCCCGGCGAGGGGAGUGAAAAAGAACCUGAAACCGUGUACGUACAAGCAGUGGGAGCACCCUUUGGGGUGUGACUGCGUACCUUUUGUAUAAUGGGUCAGCGACUUAUAUUCUGUAGCAAGGUUAACCGCAUAGGGGAGCCGCAGGGAAACCGAGUCUUAACCGGGCGUUAAGUUGCAGGGUAUAGACCCGAAACCCGGUGAUCUAGCCAUGGGCAGGUUGAAGGUUGGGUAACACUAACUGGAGGACCGAACCGACUAAUGUUGAAAAAUUAGCGGAUGACCUGUGGCUGGGGGUGAAAGGCCAAUCAAACCGGGAGAUAGCUGGUUCUCCCCGAAAGCUAUUUAGGUAGCGCCUCGUGAAUUCAUCUCCGGGGGUAGAGCACUGUUUCGGCUAGGGGGCCAUCCCGGCUUACCAACCCGAUGCAAACUGCGAAUACCGGAGAAUGUUAUCACGGGAGACACACGGCGGGUGCUAACGUCCGUCGUGAAGAGGGAAACAACCCAGACCGCCAGCUAAGGUCCCAAAGUCAUGGUUAAGUGGGAAACGAUGUGGGAAGGCCCAGACAGCCAGGAUGUUGGCUUAGAAGCAGCCAUCAUUUAAAGAAAGCGUAAUAGCUCACUGGUCGAGUCGGCCUGCGCGGAAGAUGUAACGGGGCUAAACCAUGCACCGAA
rnacentral:rRNA from 1 species